rnacentral:rRNA from 1 species
AGAGUUUGAUCAUGGCUCAGGAUGAACGCUGGCGGCGUGCUUAACACAUGCAAGUCGAACGAUGAACCGGAGCUUGCUCUGGGGAUUAGUGGCGAACGGGUGAGUAACACGUGGGCAACCUGCCCCAGACAUCGGGAUAACCACUCGAAAGAGUGGCUAAUACCGAAUACGACCACUUUGGGCAUCCAACGGUGGUGGAAAGGGAUUCUGGUCUGGGAUGGGCCCGCGGCCUAUCAGCUAGUUGGUGGGGGUAAUGGGCCUACCAAGGCGACGACGGGUAACCGGCCUGAGAGGGCGACCGGUCACACUGGGACUGAGACACGGCCCAGACUCCUACGGGAGGCAGCAGUGGGGAAUAUUGCGCAAUGGGCGAAAGCCUGACGCAGCGACGCCGCGUGAGGGACGAAGGUCUUCGGAUUGUAAACCUCUUUCAGCAGGGACGAAGCGAAAGUGACUGUACCUGCAGAAGAAGCACCGGCUAACUACGUG